rnacentral:rRNA from 1 species
AUAUCAAUAAGCGGAGGAAAAGAAACUAACUAGGAUUCCCUUAGUAACGGCGAGUGAACUGGGAAGAGCCCAACUUGAAAAUCUCCAGCCUUUGGCUGGCGAAUUGUAGUCUAUAGAAGCACUGCCUGAAGCCGGCCUUAUCCAAGUUUCCUGGAACGGAACGCUAUAGAGGGUGAGAGCCCCGUCGAUGAGGUGCAGGUUUCUCCACGGCAUGCUUUCGCAGAGUCGGGUUGUUUGAGAAUGCAGCCCUAAUUUGGUGGUAAAUCCCAUCUAAGGCUAAAUACUGGCAAGAGACCGAUAGCGCACAAGUA